AGAGUUUGAUCCUGGCUCAGAUUGAACGCUGGCGGCAGGCCUAACACAUGCAAGUCGAGCGGUAGAGAGAAGCUUGCUUCUCUUGAGAGCGGCGGACGGGUGAGUAAUGCCUAGGAAUCUGCCUGGUAGUGGGGGAUAACGUUCGGAAACGAACGCUAAUACCGCAUACGUCCUACGGGAGAAAGCAGGGGACCUUCGGGCCUUGCGCUAUCAGAUGAGCCUAGGUCGGAUUAGCUAGUUGGUGGGGUAAUGGCUCACCAAGGCGACGAUCCGUAACUGGUCUGAGAGGAUGAUCAGUCACACUGGAACUGAGACACGGUCCAGACUCCUACGGGAGGCAGCAGUGGGGAAUAUUGGACAAUGGGCGAAAGCCUGAUCCAGCCAUGCCGCGUGUGUGAAGAAGGUCUUCGGAUUGUAAAGCACUUUAAGUUGGGAGGAAGGGCACUUACCUAAUACGUGAUUGUUUUGACGUUACCGACAGAAU
rnacentral:rRNA from 1 species